UCUGAUUUAGAAGAACAUUGUUAUCAUAGAUUCGAAUCCUAUCGCACCUCAUGAGUGUAUAUACCGAUCUGACUCAUAACUUGCUUCUGACGAAGAAAAACAUCGUGAAACCUGCACUCCAGUUGACGAUUAAUUAGCAAGUUGAAAAAUGCAGAAAGUAAUGAUAAACUUCUUUUAAUAUCACCAAGAACGUCAUUAUGUGUGUUACAUUCCACAUAAUGGCCACGAUCCUCAUUCAAUGGAAAUCGAUAAGAAAAAAACUGACGUAGAUGAAUAAUAAACAAUUUCGUUCAUUUGCUUUCCUCAAGGUGACCUGGGCUGAAAGAGUUUGCACUAGCGAUAAGGCCGCCUAUUGUACACUUUUCGUUUUUAGAGCAAUAAGGUGUUGUUUUUUACUUAACUACUUAAAUAAACAUCGAAUCCAUCGCUGUGAUCGCCGUGAACCAAGUAUUUUAAAAUGCAAAUGCAAACGGCUGCAACAGCUUGUCCGCAAGGUGUUAAUCAUAUUAAGACACGUCGAUACACUGAUAUAAGAAUAAAAGAAGUUUCGAUGUAAGUGUCGACAGAAAAUAUUGAUAUCGGCGUGAAGUCCUAAAGACGCAGAAGAAUCUGUUUUCCAAUCCGAUUUUCAUCCAAAGUUAUGUACUUAGAGCAAAAAGAUCGAACGAAUCUUAGGCAGCCGUAACUUGCAGAGUGUCGCCUGCGCUGGCUGGGAACAUGCCUGGCUGUUCCGAAUCUGCCUGCUACUGGCAGAAGCGACUAACUCAAAAUCUGCCGACUUGAUGUCCUGAAGGAGAUUCACAGGUUGCAGUGAGCACACAAUCUGAAGCGACCCUAAAAUGCAAAAUAUGAUGUCGCUGCCAUCUUCAUAUGAAUAUUAAUGUAUGUGCUAAUUUAAUGGGUGUCGGCGAGCUGUUAUAGAAAUGUACGCUAAAAUGACUUGUAACAACGGACGAGCAGUUUACAUAAUCAUGUGAACAUUGUGGGCUAAAGGCAGAGUAAAAAAUGCAUGUUCAAUUCAAAUACCUGGGUGCAUCGAAGUUGACUCUGACCUCUCUUACUCUUCUAUUUCAUA